UGAUCACCACGUGCAAGUAGCUGGGCCAGAAGGACCUCGGCACGUUACGGAAUAUUUACUACAGGAACAGGUGAGCUGAAGGCGAAUUCCCCAGGUGUAGCCUGUGACCAUAGAUUCAGACAAAGCCCUGACUGUUGCCCAGAAUUCAAAAAAGCUGUAGCCCUACCAGAUAGAAUAAGAAAAGAAUAUAGGAUUCUUCCUAUUCAAAUAGGUUGCAUAUAAUUAAGAGCAUGAAAGAUCCAAUGGAAUGAACUCAAAGUAGUUUUUGAGUUUAAUAGACAUGAAGUAUCUUAUGGAAAAGAAUUGCAAAACCACAGAAACAGUGAAGAAGGUUAGUUACAGCCUUGAUGGGGUAGCUGACUUCAGCAGUCUCAGCUAUCUGAAAAGGUAUUUACCAGAUUUUGGUUGGGAACAUAAUCCCUAAAUCAUUUGAGAUAAUGUACUUGUUUCCUUACUGGGUAAAUGUGUUUAAACCUUGAGAAAAUGUAGACAUAAGUAGAAUAUAGAAUAAAUUAAACCUUUGGUAGUAAUGUUUUAGGAU
rnacentral:lncRNA from 1 species